GAUGAACGCUGGCGGCGUGCCUAAUACAUGCAAGUCGAGCGAACAGACGAGGAGCUUGCUCCUCUGACGUUAGCGGCGGACGGGUGAGUAACACGUGGAUAACCUACCUAUAAGACUGGGAUAACUUCGGGAAACCGGAGCUAAUACCGGAUAAUAUAUUGAACCGCAUGGUUCAAUAGUGAAAGACGGUUUUGCUGUCACUUAUAGAUGGAUCGGCGCCGCAUUAGCUAGUUGGUAAGGUAACGGCUUACCAAGGCAACGAUGCGUAGCCGACCUGAGAGGGUGAUCGGCCAAACUGGAACUGAGACACGGUCCAGACUCCUACGGGAGGCAGCAGUAGGGAAUCUUCCGCAAUGGGCGAAAGCCUGACGGAGCAACGCCGUGUGAGUGAUGAAGGUCUUCGGAUCGUAAAACUCUGUUAUUAGGGAAGAACAAAUGUGUAAGUAACUAUGCACGUCUUGACGGUACCUAAUCAGAAAGCCACGGCUAACUACGUG
rnacentral:rRNA from 1 species